rnacentral:misc_RNA from 1 species
UCUCCGUAGGUGAACCUGCGGAAGGAUCAUUAUUGUAUAACCGAGGUGCGUGGACUGUCGCUGACGUGACCGGUACUGUACCCUCGACUGCCCUCACCCACAUUUAUCCCACCCCUAUGUGCACCACCCCCCGCGUCCCCCCUUGGCUUGUUCGGAGGGGCGCUUACGUUUUCACCCACUCUUUGUCUGCAGUGCAGAAUGUGUUUUUUGUUUUUGCGAUCACGCACUUAAUUCAACUUUCAACAACGGAUCCCUUAGCUCUCGCAACGACGAAGAACG